rnacentral:rRNA from 1 species
AAUAACACCGGACGGUUUUUGGUGAUUCAUAGUAACUUUUCGAAUCGCAUGACUUUACGUCGGCGAUGGUUCAUUCAAAUUUCUGCCCUAUCAAGUUUCGAUGGUAGGAUAGAGGCCUACCAUGCUUUUUACGGGUAACGGCGAAUUAGGGUUCGAUUCCGGAGAGGGAGCCUGAGAAACGGCUACCACAUCUAAGGAAGGCAGCAGGCGCGCAAAUUACCCAAUCCUGAUUCAGGGAGGUAGUGACAAUAAAUAACAAUCCAGGACUUCGGUCUUGGAAUUGGAAUGAGAACAAUUUAAAUCUCUUAUCGAGGAACAAUUGGAGGGCAAGUCUGGUGCCAGCAGCCGCGGUAAUUCCAGCUCCAAUAGCGUAUAUUAAAGUUGUUGCAGUUAAAUAGCUCGUAGUUGAAUCUUGGGGCUGGUUUGGCGGUCGCGUCUUUGACGUGUACUGUCGGCCGGUUCUUUUACUUGUGGGGAACGUAUGUGCCCUUUGCGGGGUGUGUACGGGAACCAUGGCUGUUACUUUGAAAAAAUUAGAGUGUUUAAAGCAGGCAUUCGGUUGAAUACAUUAGCAUGGAAUAAUAGAAUAGGACUUUGGUUCUAUUCAGUAGGUUCUAGGACCGAAGUAAUGAUUAAUAGGGAUAGUUGGGGGCAAUUAGUAUUUAAUUGUCAGAAGUGAAAUUCUUGGGAAUUUAUGAAAG